GGAAAGGGCAGCGAUCUGGAGGAAUCCCAGAAGGAAUUCCCCGAAACAGUUCUCUAAGGGGGUAAAAAAGAGUUCUGAGGAAAAUUCCUUUUUUUUUUUUUCCUGGAAAAAACCGGGUGGGGUUGCGGGGUGAGAGGUUUAGUCUCCAGACUGGUAGUUCUUGGAGGAGCCUGCGGCUCGCACAGCCUGUCCCUCCGCCCGGGUGACUGUGGACCUGGUGAGUCCUGUGUGGCCCAGCUUCGGAGGGAGCCAGGGCUCCUGCAUUGGUCCCUGGAGGCUGAACAUAUCAUCACCUUCAGGAAACUUUUCUGGAAAAAUCCUAUCCAACCCCCAAAUACCAGCAAACCCCUGAUCCACUCCUUGCCCCCUACAAUCCUCAGUGUCAGCUGUUAUAUCCAGGGACGGCCAGCUUCCUCUUCCUGCCACCCUGCCUCCCCCGCAGUCGGUUAAAUGCCCCUUCAUCAUCGCCUUCCUGGCCAGAGUGUGCAGGGUGGAUUGGCAGGCUCGGUCUGAGGUCAGCAUGGGGUGAAUGGCAGACAGCUUGGUGCCAAGGACUGUACCCACAUGACCUGGCCACCCUACCCCACAUGAAUGCCAACAGCGGAGAUGGAUGGGGAAACUGAGGCCCAGAGCAGCCAUGUGAUGUGGUCCCACAACAAGAAGUGAUGGAGCAGCAUCCAAAUGGAGGCAGCCAGGCUGUUGACCUCCACACUGCACUGCUCCAUUGCUCGUCCACCCCAGCCUUCCCCACUGCCUCGUAGGGUGAAGCUGGGCAGUCAACUCCAUUACCAAGCGGAACUCUUGGCCAGAGGUGCACAAUCAGAGGUGGCUGAGGAUAACCUCUCAAGGCCUGAGCUCCUGGAAGGUGAAGGCGGACACAUGCACCUGGGUGUCCUGGCGCCCAGCACAGGACCAACCAGUCCGUGACCAAUUCAUGGUGCUGAUGAUUUGCUCUAGAGACCGAAGGGCUGGUGGAAUGCUGUG